rnacentral:lncRNA from 1 species
AGGGGUGACAUGCGGCAAACACCCAGCAAGCCAACUGACAGGCCUUCGUCGCUAUUAGCCUAAAACAACAAGGUUAGCAAGCAUUUAGCAUCGCAGAGGAAGAAGCCCACUAAAGUCUGCGCCACUAAAUGGCUAAAGUCCGCACUGGAAAGAGGCCCAUUGCUUUCGCCAGCCGUUGGCGCGUUUCUAGCGCGCAGGGAGCCUUCUGCACGCACUUUGCAUGCUUGAUGACUAGGAAUGUAGCUUGACCGCGUGUCAGGGGGCGAACCCGAUGAGUGUCUUCAAUUCAACGCCCGUCAACGCCUAACAAUUGAUGGUUCGCCUGCCAGGCCCUGUGUGGCCGGCCCCUGGUCGCUCUGCCCCCUUGCUUGGUGGUCUCGCCGCUUGAUCGUGUGGGUGUGUCUGGGUGGUUGUGGUCCCUCGGCCUUGUCUUUCGCGCGUGCGGUGUGGACUGUGGGGCUCUGCCCAAUGUCUAGGCUAGUACUGUGCCUGUGGCACGUGAAGUGGAGGCUUUGCCUUGUGUUGGGCCUUCGGGCUUGGAUCAGACAUGGCGUGGCGUGCGUGCGUCUCCGUGGCGUGCGAAAUGAGUGGUGCCUUUGUUUGAUUGGGCGGUCGGCGGACCACUGGCCUGUCCGUGCCCCGUCUUGCGGGAGUGUCACCACCAAAAGACCGAAAAGAAUUGCAAUUUUGCUGUACGGUUUGGCUUUGGCGGGUCACGCACCCGGGUGCCUGGCUUGGCUUCGACUCACAGUGCGUGGAGUCGCUGGACUGAGGGCCUGAGGGUGUGCAGCCAACCUGGUGGUGGUUUCCGGUCACAGGAUGGAUCCCCGUGGCUUAUGUCAGUCCAGGGCACUCAACGCCCCUUCCACGCUUGCGGGGUCAGGCUGUCUGUAACAUCGCAAUCAUAAAGGCACAGAGAAGAAGUGGAUGCAAGUAAAAGAGCAACGCGCACGUUGCAGGCGCAAUCCCGGUCGUACGCCAUGACAGGCACAAAGGGCAUGGAG